UAACAAGGAUUCCCCUAGUAACUGCGAGUGAAGCGGGAAAAGCUCAAAUUUAAAAUCUGACAGUUUCACUGUCCGAGUUGUAAUCUGGAGAAGCAUUUUCCGUGUCGGACCGUGUACAAGUCUCUUGGAAUAGAGCGUCAUAGAGGGUGAGAAUCCCGUCCAUGACACGGACUACCGAUGCUUUGUGAUAUGCUCUCGAAGAGUCGAGUUGUUUGGGAAUGCAGCUCAAAAUGGGUGGUAAAUUCCAUCUAAAGCUAAAUAUUGGCGAGAGACCGAUAGCGAACAAGUACCGUGAGGGAAAGAUGAAAAGCACUUUGGAAAGAGAGUUAAACAGUACGUGAAAUUGUUGAAAGGGAAACGCUUGAAGUCAGUCGCGUUGAUUGAGACUCAGCCUUGCUUUGCAUGGUGUACUUCUCAGUUAACGGGUCAACAUCAAUUUCAGUUGGUGGAUAAAGGCAUUGGGAAUGUGGCACCUUCGGGUGUGUUAUAGACCUUUGUUGCAUACACUGACCGGGAUUGAGGAACGCAGCACGCCACUAAGGCCAGGGGUUCGCCCCAUGUAACGUGCUUAGGAUGUUGGCAUAA
rnacentral:rRNA from 1 species